ACUGCCCAUUUCUUGAUUGAGGACAUGAAAAUGGUGAAAAAGGCUGUUGCUAAUGCGACCAUUAAUGAUGUUCUUUUGGGAAUGAUAUCAGCUGGAUUUUCAAGGUACUUGGAUCAUCGAUCGCCAAAUUCUUUGAAGAAGAAUCAGCGACUCACAGGAGUAGCCAUGGUUAAUUUAAAAGAGCCGAUAACAUUGCAGGAUGGAUCUGAACAAAAUGAUAGAAAGC
rnacentral:misc_RNA from 1 species